rnacentral:tRNA from 1 species
GUGAGUAUAGCCCAGUGGCAGAGCGCAUGCUUAGCAUGAACAAGGUCCUGGGUUCAAUCCCCAGGACUUCCA